AAACUUUACAAUGCUGGAAACAGCGAUAGGGGGACCUUGAGUGCCAGGAUACAAUUCUGGCUGUCGUCGUGCCUAAAAAGCACGGCAUAGCAAGGGCCGGGCAAGACCGGUGCCAGCCGCCGCGGUAACACCGGCGGCUCGAGUGGUAACCGCUAUUAUUGGGUCUAAAGGGUCUGUAGCCGGCUGGAAAAGUCUCUUGGGAAAUCCGGCAGCUUAACUGUCGGGCUAUCAGGAGAUACUCUCCAGCUCGGGACCGGGAGAGGUGAGAGGUACUUCAUGGGUAGGGGUGAAAUCUUGUAAUCCUUGAAGGACCACCAGUGGCGAAGGCGUCUCACCAGAACGGAUCCGACGGCAAGGGACGAAAGCUAGGGGCACGAACCGG
rnacentral:rRNA from 1 species